GGCCUACGGGAGGCAGCAGUGGGGAAUAUUGCACAAUGGGGGGAACCCUGAUGCAGCAAUGCCGCGUGGGUGAAGAAGCACUCCGGUGCGUAAAGCCCUGUCAGCAGGGAAGAAAAUGACAGUACCUGGACAAGAAGCCCCGGCUAACUACGUGCCAGCAGCCGCGGUAAUACGUAGGGGGCAAGCGUUAUCCGGAUUUACUGGGUGUAAAGGGAGCGUAGACGGCAGCGCAAGUCUGAAGUGAAAUGCCGGGGCUUAACCCCGGAACUGCUUUGGAAACUGUGCAGCCAGGGUGCAGGAGCGGG
rnacentral:rRNA from 1 species